rnacentral:lncRNA from 1 species
AUGGGGGGCCAUGGCCCAGCCCCUGCAGCCGGUGCCCGUCCUGGAGAGAUUAUGGGGGAAGGACAGAGCCUGCCUGAUGACACAAGAGAAGAGGAUGUGCUGCCCGGGGGCCCAACUUGGGGUUUCCACACUCAGCGCCUCACACAAAGGGGAAGAGCUUGUGCCCUCCUCUCCCGGCUUCCCGCGCAGGAGACAGAGGCAGGGCCGCGCUUCCAGCAGAUGCUCCAAUGCUCAGGCACUUCUCCAUCGUUUUCUGCAAACUUCCCCAGCAGUUGUAAUGAGCAUUGCAGACGUGGGAGUUCCAGCUCUGGUGGAAGGGGAUCCGAAGCGUCUCUGCAGCUCCAGGACGCAGGUUCGAUUCCCCAGCCCAGCACAGUGGGCGAAAGGACCCAGCGGUGCUGCAGCUGUGGCGCAGGUCGCCACGGUGGCUGGGAUCCAGUCACUCACCCAGGAACUCCAUAUGCCAUAGGGUGGCCCCCAAAAAGAAAAGAAAAAAAUAGCAGAAGUGGUUGUUGUCGUAGUAAGAAAAGUAAAAACGCUAACUAGGAUGAAUCAUGUCCAGACAGUGGAUUCAUAUGCAGUCAGGAAGCAAAGAAGAGCUGAUGUGUUCCACGCUGUGGAGAAACCUUGAAAUGCAAUUCUGCGUCAAAGGGCCAAGCUUCAAAGGUCACCUCCUGUAUGAGUCCAUUUUUUAAAUUAUGAUAGUUGAUUUACAAUAUUCCGUCAAUUUCUGCUGCACAGCAAAGUGACCCAGUCCUAUAUAUGAUAGAUAGAUAGAUACACAUUCUUUUUCUCACAGUAUCUUCUAUCAUGUUCUGUCACAAGCGAUUGACUAUAGCUCCCUGUGGUGUAGAGCGGGACCUCAUUGCUUAUCCAUUUGAAUGUAAUAGUUCACAUCUACGAACCCCAAACUCCCCGUCCCUUCCACUCCCUCCCCCUCCUCCUCCCCCUGGGCAACCACAAGUCUGUUCUCCAUGUCCAUGAGUUUGUUUCAUGAUAGGUUCAUUUGUGCCAUGUGUUAGAUUCCAGAUAUAAGUGAUAUCAUAUGGUAUUUGUCUUUCUCUUUCAGACUUACUUCACUUAGUAUGAGCAUCUGUAGGUCCAUCCAUGUUGCUACAAGUGGCAUUAUUUCAUUUUUUAUGGUUGAGUAAUAUUCCACUGUGUAUAUAUACUGCAUCUUUUUAAUCCAGUCAUCUGUCAAUGGACGUUUAGGUUGUUUCCAUGUCUUGGCUAUUGUAUAUAGUGCUGCAUUGAACAUUGGAGUACAUGUGUCUUUUUGAGUCAUGGUUUUCUCUGGAUAGAUGCCCAGGAGCGGGAUUGUGGGGUCAUAUGGUAGUUCUUUUUUUUUUUUUUUUUUUUUUUUUUUUUUUUUUUUUUUUUU